UACGUAGGGGGCCAGCGUUGUCCGGAAUCAUUGGGCGUAAAGAGCUCGUAGGCGGCUCAGUAAGUCGGGUGUGAAACCCUCAGGCUCAACCUGGGGACGCCACUCGAUACUGCUGUGGCUAGAGUCCGGAAGAGGCGAGUGGAAUUCCUGGUGUAGCGGUGGAAUGCGCAGAUAUCAGGAGGAACACCGAUGGCGAAGGCAGCUCGCUGGGACGGUACUGACGCUGAGGCGCGAAAGCGUGGGGAGCGAACAGG
rnacentral:rRNA from 1 species